rnacentral:rRNA from 1 species
GACGAAUGCUGGCGGCGUGCUUAACACAUGCAAGUCGAACGGAAAGGCCCUGCUUUUGUGGGGUGCUCGAGUGGCGAACGGGUGAGUAACACGUGAGUAACCUGCCCUUGACUUUGGGAUAACUUCAGGAAACUGGGGCUAAUACCGGAUAGGAGCUCCUGCUGCAUGGUGGGGGUUGGAAAGUUUCGGCGGUUGGGGAUGGACUCGCGGCUUAUCAGCUUGUUGGUGGGGUAGUGGCUUACCAAGGCUUUGACGGGUAGCCGGCCUGAGAGGGUGACCGGCUACAUUGGGACUGAGAUACGGACCAGACUCCUACGGGAGGCAGCAGUGGGGAAUAUUGCACAAUGGGCGGAAGCCUGAUGCAGCAACGCCGCGUGCGGGAUGACGGCCUUCGGGUUGUAAACCGCUUUCGCCUGUGACGAAGCGUGAGUGACGGUAAUGGGUAAAGAAGCACCGGCUAACUACGUG